UGAACUCUGCUGAACUGCAUUUUCGACGCUUGUGUGAAUGCCCGGGAGCCGCAUUGAACCAGCCAAAGAGCCGCAUGCGGCUCGUGAGCCGCGGGUUGGCCACCCC